UACGGAGGGGGCUAGCGUUGUUCGGAAUUACUGGGCGUAAAGCGCGCGUAGGCGGAUCUGCAAGUCGGGGGUGAAAUCCCGAGGCUCAACCUCGGAACUGCCUUCGAUACUGCGGGUCUCGAGUCCGGGAGAGGUGAGUGGAAUUCCUAGUGUAGAGGUGAAAUUCGUAGAUAUUAGGAAGAACACCAGUGGCGAAGGCGGCUCCACGUGGCCCGGUACUGACGCUG
rnacentral:rRNA from 1 species